CAAAGGUCACAACAACACGCCUGUGUAGGAGGUAAACAGUAGAAGUACGCAUGCGCUAGUGGUGGUAUGGACGCCUCAUGAACACAGCAAUGAACAAUUGCGCAUGUGCGGGCAGAACAGGCGAAAGCAGGACAAGUGCGCCACGCGGCGGGCGCCAUCUUGUUGUGCUAGAAUGGAGUGCUGUUUCUCACCGUGUCCGCUCGUCGCGCUGUUUGUUUCGUGGUAUGGCGGCUCCUAGCGCAUUUUUCCGGUUGGGAGGCUCACAUCCUCGAAUCCCUCUCCAGCCCCCCUGGGCUGACAGGUGUGCUGAAGCAAUUUUUCGCCCUUCACGUUCUGAAGUCGGCUUCUCUGGGUUCGGAGGAGAGGGGCUGAUGAUACGCGUGACGGACAUGAAAACUCCCGGGAGCUAAUUCCCAGCCUCCCAUCACCGACCAGUAGUGCCCGUAAACCAAGGCAAGAGGGACCACUGUUUGAGUUCGCGCGUUUACGGGGCCUCGCUCUGAGCCUCUGUGGGCAUAGCCUUCCUCCACAGAAGGCGGACUCCAUGGUGCCGCACCCACCAGGAGCCUGCCUCCCCCACUUCUACUCAGACACUCCGGAGGUCUGGGACCCUGGAAUUCUCUCUGCAAAUGGAGCCUUCCCCGAAACCACCCUCCCCGAGAGUAUGCGGCUGAUGCCAGUGGCUGGCCAGUGGGGUACUGCUUACCACGAGAACGGACAGUCUGGAUGUGGGGCGCUGAGGUGUUCACACACAUGCAUGUGUGACUCCUCACACUGGAUCCACACCCCUACAGCUAGGAGUGGGAAGUGAAAUGAAGAGGGUAGUUCUUGAACCAGGCAAAUGCUACACGUUGCCCAGUUUUGGUGAACUUUGAGGAGUCCAAGAAUUCGAAGUGCAACCCUGGCCGCCUAGGUCAUUCUGAAGACAUACUGUUAAGCUUGAUUAAAUCCCUUCGAAGUCAACCAAGCAUUAGAGGUCUGUGGCAUGAAGCUCCAGGCUCGUGUUUACUUGUCCCAUGUAAACAGAUUUUCCUUGGAAGGCUGAACUUCAGCUAGGGCACUUUACUCCUGGAGGCUACACGUGGCCAAGACCUAAAUGUGUGCCACCCGAGAGCUUCAUGGGAAGCUUCGCUUCUGUCUCCAAUCCCUCUGGCUUCCCAGCAAGGAUGGAAUCUGUUGCCAGAGAGCACAGACCAAAAGCUGAGCUGAUAGGAGUGAGUGGAUGGAUGCCUGGCCCUCUCUACAGACUACCUGGACCAGCAAGACACCCAGCGGACAUGAAGAGCAAUUUCGGGGGUCCAAGGAGACAAUAUAAUUACAUUUCAGCAAGAUCUUCUUAGCUGCCUUCACCUGCUACGAGCCUGUACAACACAUUUAAUAAAACAUGACUAAACACCUUGUUGGUAGGCGGGGAAUGCCUGUCAUCACCUGGGAGCAGUGUGAACGAAUCACACAGGUGCUACCUCUAGGAACAUACAGAUAAGUUUGCUUCUUUCAAGAUAGAGGUGAUAACUGAACAAUGGUGUAAGUAUACUAAAUGCACACCUCGAAAAGGAAUCGAACACUUACUAUGUGCCUGACACUGUUCUAAGAACUUUAUAUUUGUUAACUCCUCCCAAACUCUAUGAAGUAGAUACAAUUAUUUUCUCUAUUUUAUAUGCGAGGAACCAGACGUGUGGACAGGGUGAGCAACUUCUCCAGGUUACAGAGUCAAUAUGUGGUAAGGCUGGGAUUUGACCCUCUGACCUUGGAGCUUUUGCUCUCUGUUGCUACCUUAUGCCUGUAGGUGCCUUUGGUCCCUGAUGCCCUUGCCCUCUGCCCUCCCUGCCCAGUUCACAGCAAUUUAUUUCUCCCCUGUGUUCCUCAAUGGGUACCUUUACUGGGCCACUCUCAAGCUCCGAGUCCCCAGCCUUCUGCCUCCUACCUCCCCCAUCCCUCUCUGAAAGCCUUUCUACCUGUUUCAUGAGUCUUUUCCAGGACUGAAAGGAAUGCCAAAGUAUCAUUGAAACGACCACCAAAAAAUCAUGUCCCUUUAACACAAAGCUCAAAUGAUUACUAGAAAUACAUCGAUAAGAAAUAGUUUAUAAAAAAUGAAAAAGUACUCAUUAAUACAAAUACUUAUUUUUAGAGAAAUCAGUGCUUAAAGAGACCACUGCCCCCAGUGCAAUUUCCUGUACGUACAAGAGGCAAUAAAUAAACAUGUAUUGAGUGACUGAAUGAAUGAAGUCCACUCGGGACUGUGGAAUUUCAACAGAGGUUUCUGGAAACUUAACACUUGGAUGUUUUUGUUGGAUUGCUUUAAGAAGAUGCUCUUCUGAAAGAAAGACCAUUUUGUCAUAAUAUAUAUAAUCUAACGUUUCCACGUGUUAUAAAGCCCUCCACUGAGGGUUGUCUAACAAGUCUGUUCAGGCUACUGCCACUUGCCUGCCAAAGAAGGCCACGCCUGUUCUCUUUUAUGUGCCUCUCUUUCACAAGUUUUUAAAAAAAUAGCAAACAUUUGUGAUACCAAAAGAGUUAAUCUUUCUUCAGUAUCAAGGUUGGAGAAGGCAGAAUAGCUAAUUUGCUUUCUUGACUUCAGUGGAGGUUUUAUUACUUCAGUGUUCUAUAAAAAAAUGUACUUCCAUUUCAUGUUGACAUGCCAUUUUAUGAACUGUUAAUAGAAAUUAUUGACUCACAAAUUGAGGGAAAAACUAAGACUAAUAUAUUAUUUAUUAUGUUCUAGCCAAGUGCUGAAUGCCGAGGAGAAUUUAACAGUAUCUACAGCUUUGUUGUUUUAAUAUUCAGUUUAUUUAUUUUGUAAUCAUAUCUUAGAUUUAAAAAGCUGUUUUAGGCUCACUGGGUUUUAUUCAUUAAAUAGAAAUUGUCCGCCUCAAACUGUUUUCAAACAGUAAAGGUAAGAAUUUAUUAACAAUGGUAUAAUUAAUAUAAGGAAGAGGCUGACUGACUCAAUUAUAAAAGCAGGGUUCUGGUACCUUUACCCCAUAGCUGCUUUGGGAUUAGCCUAUCACAGAAAUAUUUUGCUGUUGUUACCUUGCAUCAAAAUAUAAAGUUAUUCUGUUCUGGUAUUGCAGAAAAAUGCACUGCUUUCUGCAAUAAACCUUGCAUUUCAGGAACCUCACAGGUCAGGUUUUUCUCAGCAAACUGUAACUUGUACAGUGAAUGUCCUGAUUUCUAAAAGAAAUGAAUUCAGUUUUCCCACCUUACCUUCCACUCUGUCUAAGAAACCCACCCUCUAGCCACCUGCCUGUGCUGCCCUCACAGCACGCCUUGGCUGUCCCAUCACUGACCCUGUGCUCGGCAGCUCCUGUUCGAAUCCUCUCUGUCCACCCACCCACUUGUAACCCACAGUAUCCAUAAUCCUGCUGACUCGUCCAGACCCAGAUCAAAUCCCACCGCCACUAUGAGUCUUCCAAGCCAGAAGCAGCGUUUCCCUGUUCAGAUACCGACACUGACACUGAUCGUCCCUAUGCCUUCAGGUUGCUUCUCUUAAGACGUGUCCUUCCCUGGUUUAUGUCGGUCUCCAUGUCUCCCUCCCCUGCCAGACUGGGGCCUUCUGGAGAUGGAGACUCUGGAGACAGUCAGCAAUUUAUUUGAUCUUUUGUAUUGUAUAUACAUUUGGAAGCUGCCCUCAAUCACAUGACAAAUGAACUGUGGCAUAAAUAUAUCAUGCUUAUGACAGGGUUAUGAAAUAAAGAUGUGUGGACAUAUUAUGUAUGGCCUGUAAAAGCAAUUGCAUUAUUGUGUAGUGACACUUCCUACUCUGUAAAACCCAGAGCAUCUAUGCACAUAAAUGCAGUUGAUAAAUACACUGUAACAAAGGAGAUGAAAAAAGGAAAUGGCAAGUAUGUAAUAUAGUAAAAGAAAUUUGAAAUAGACAAAAAAUUACUUAAAAUAUAUACAGUAUAUAGUGAAGAUCUGAUUACCUAUAAACCUGGACAAAUAAAAUCAACUGACAAUGAGAAA